rnacentral:ncRNA from 1 species
GCAACUUGCAGUUGUUUUAAUAAAAUUGGUUCCUUAGGUUAUUGCCCCACAUUUAUUGUGGGGUUUCUUUUAUGCAAAAA